rnacentral:lncRNA from 1 species
UUGUAAGGUUAUUUUGUAGGGUUUAUAUUCCUAAUGACAAAUAAAGAAUGAGGCUAGUGUAUGAAGAUGACCAGCUUAAAAAAUGAUAAAGCUUGCAUUGAAUACAAGAAAGUAACUUUAUGUUUAUGUUGAGUAUGAAGAACCAAUCAAUAAAUCAGUCAUAGAGAGACAAGGACUAGAAGUCUUGCUAAAAUGAUUGAUGAGAAGAAAAGUCAGGAAGUAGCGACAAGCAAAGAAAUUGGUAAGCAGAUAGUAGGGAGCAAAGGUAGAAAAGUAGUUACUGAGCAAAGUUAGCAAGUGGUGAUAAACAAAAGAAAAGAGAAAGUGCUUGACAAACCUAAGGAUCAAAAGAUUGCUGAGAAAUCUUUCGAGAAUGAAGAGUACACCCUAUAUAGUGACAGUGAAGAGAAAGAGAGUGAUGAUAGCUAUUAUAUAAUUGAUAAACUAUUAUCUGAUAAUAGGGAGUUGAUAGCUACGAGGGACAAACUAAAGGAAGUAAGGGAAUAAGAAAAAUGAUGAUGAGGUGCAGAGGAGGCAACCACCAUCUCAAGAUCAAAUUAUAGGACCAAGCAUUGUUGCUUCUAGUGGAUGAUGUUAAAGAGCAGAUUGGGUACGAUAGUGACUACCAUGAUUCAUCUAAAUUUGAAAUACUUGAAUCG